GUUCUUUACGACAGAUUUCACGAAAACAACACAAAAGACUCUUGCGAUAAACAGUGUGCUGAGCAGUUGUUUUCUCAAAUGAGAAAAAACAGCUACUUUCUAAAUGUUAUGAAGCCAACAAGCCAUGUGUUCCCCAUGCGAAACCAGAGACUUCAUAUGGAAACACAAUUAAAAUGGAUGAUGAGCCAAGUACACAAAAGGUAGCUGUGAGAAGGCUGAAGGAUGUAUUGUUAAACAAGAACUGCUGGAAACAACCAUUAGGUGAAGCGAUGGAAGAAAAGCUCACACGUGUGUUAGACACAUUGAAAAGUCAGAGUGAACAUGUGGCACGUGUUUAUUCAACCACCCUGAUGCGAGA